rnacentral:rRNA from 1 species
UGCGUAGGCUGUGCGGAAAGUUAGGUGUGAAAUCCCCCGGCUCAACCGGGGAAUUGCGCUUAAAACUACCGUGCUAGAGGAAUACAGAGGUGAGCGGAACUUCGGGUGGAGCGGUGAAAUGCGUUGAUAUCCGAAGGAACACCGGUGGCGAAAGCGGCUCACUGGGUAUUUUCUUGACGCUGAUGCACGAAAGCUAGGGGAGGCAAAACGG